AGGACAACGCAAGCUGACUGGGAUGAAUGUGAUGUGGAUGAUCCCCGGUCGAGAAGUCCAGUGAAUCAGGUUUCUGAAGAAAAACGCAAGAAACUGAAACCUGGAUCAAAGCUGCCAGAACAAUGACAGGCCCAGGAGCCCAGCUUCCCCACAGGCCCUGGCGAGACGAGGCCGGGGGCUGAGUUCGGAGGGAGCUGCUCAGCAUGCUGAAAUAUGGAGGCGACAGAUAAGGUGGCAGUGGCACAGAGCGGCCUUCUCCCAUGGGCCC